UACGUAGGGUGCAAGCGUUGUCCGGAAGUAUUGGGCGUAAAGAGCUCGUAGGCGGUCUGUUGCGUCGGCUGUGAAAACCCGGGGCUCAACUCCGGGCCUGCAGCCGAUACGGGCAGACUAGAGUUCGGCAGGGGAGACUGGAAUUCCUGGUGUAGCGGUGAAAUGCGCAGAUAUCAGGAGGAACACCGGUGGCGAAGGCGGGUCUCUGGGCCGAUACUGACGCUGAGGAGCGAAAGCGUGGGGAGCGAACAGG
rnacentral:rRNA from 1 species